UUUAUUAGCUCACCUGGCCUAAAAGGCCAUGUGAGCUUUUCUCAUCACUUGGCGUCCGUCGUCGUCGUCGUUAACAAUUUUUCAAACAUCUUCUCCUCUGAAACUACUGAAUUGAUUUGAAUGAAACUUAGCAUGAUUGUUCCUUAGAGUAUCCUGCACAAAGUGUGUGCUUCGAUUUUUGAUCCGUCAAAAAACAUGGCCGCCGUUACUUAAAAUAGAACAUAGGGGUCAAAUGCAGUUUUUGGCUUAUAUCUCAAAAACGAAAGCAUUUAGAGCAAAUCUGGCAUGGGGUAAAAAUGUUCAUUAGGUCAAGAUCUAUCAGCCCUGAAAUUUUCAGAUGAAUCAAACAAACCAUUGUUGGGUUGCUGCCACUUAAUUGGUAA
rnacentral:lncRNA from 1 species